UACGGAGGGGGCUAGCGUUGUUCGGAAUUACUGGGCGUAAAGCGCACGUAGGCGGCUUUGUAAGUUAGAGGUGAAAGCCUGGUGCUCAACACCAGAAUUGCCUUUAAGACUGCAUCGCUUGAACGUCGGAGAGGUGAGUGGAAUUCCGAGUGUAGAGGUGAAAUUCGUAGAUAUUCGGAAGAACACCAGUGGCGAAGGCGGCUCACUGGACGACUGUUGACGCUGAGGUGCGAAAGCGUGGGGGAGCAAACAGG
rnacentral:rRNA from 1 species